UACAGAGGGUGCGAACGUUGUUCGGAAUCACUGGGCAUAAAGCGCACGUAGGCGGCACCGCAAGUGUGGGGUGAAAUCCCACGGCUUACCCGUGGAACUGCCUGGCAGACUGCGGUGCUAGAGGUUGGUAGGGGAGAGCGGAACUCUUGGUGGAGCGGUGAAAUGCGUAGAUAUCAAGAGGAACACCGGUGGCGAAGGCGGCUCUCUGGUCCAAUCCUGACGCUGAGGUGCGAAGGCUAGGGGAGCAAACGGG
rnacentral:rRNA from 1 species